UACGUAGGGUGCAAGCGUUGUCCGGAAUUAUUGGGCGUAAAGAGCUCGUAGGCGGUCUGUUGCGUCGGCUGUGAAAACCCGAGGCUUAACCUCGGGCCUGCAGCCGAUACGGGCAGGCUAGAGUUCGGCAGGGGAGACUGGAAUUCCUGGUGUAGCGGUGGAAUGCGUAGAGAUCCGGAAGAACACCGGUGGCGAAGGCGGCCUGCUGGGACAUGGCUGACGCUGAGGCGCGACAGCGUGGGGAGCAAACAGG
rnacentral:rRNA from 1 species